GAGCUGUUCCCAGACUGACCUCCUCUGACCUCCUGUGUGUCCACAUCUCCUCUCAUUUACAGACUCCACUCAACUACACUUGGAAGGUUUUAUCAGAUCUGAUUCCUGACGGAUUUAUUCAGCUUUGUUAUCAGUGAAAAACUCUCCUUGUUUUUGCACAAGGAGAGUUUUUCACUGAUUUCUAGUUCAUGAUUAUGUUUUAUGGAUUGAUUUCAGUCUCGACAGCAGAAGUUUCACAUCGCUCUCUACAUAACUCAUAAUAGCUGAAAAACUUUUACUUUUUCCCUUGUGCUCUGUUCCCUCAUGCUCAUGUAGUCCUCCCCCUCUCCCGCCCUGUUGAUAUGAGCCAGUUCCUGCUCAAACCGGUUCAGUCUGGAUUGCCUGCCUGUCUGUCUGUCUGUCCGUCUGUUUUAUUAUUUUAUUUUCUACAGUCGUAUAGUGUGCACGUGUUCUGCAGAAUAAUGCUGAGAGUCGUCCUGUGGGCCGGGCUCGUGGCCUCUGCCGUCACAGAUGACUCUGUGGUUGGAUCUUCUGGAGGGGUGGUAGAUCUUCCGUGCCUCCUGCCCGACCACAUGGAGCUGUCCAUGUUGGAGUGGCUCAGACCGGACCUGGGGCCUGACGGAUACCUGCUGUUUUACCGCGAGCGCAGAGAGUACCCUCAUUACCAGCACCCGAGCUUCUCCCAGCGGGUGCUCCUCGUCAGCCCGGGCCUGGAGGGGGGAAAGCUCAGCGUCACACUGCACAACCUGACGCUGAAGGACUCCGGGACCUACCGCUGUGUGGUCAGGACGUCCGACAGAAGAACCAUCUCCUCCAGCGUCCGCCUGGAGGUGAUGGAGACGCCUCGAGCACCAGAGAAACUGGUGGUUGGGGCUCAGGAGAAACCGUCUGGAGAGCGGCCGGCUGCAGACAGCAUCCUGCCGGAGCCACUGGCCAGUGCCGUGCGUGGGGCGGGUCCGGAGGAGACACCGGGCCCCGGGGUCGACAGACGCCACGCUGCAGCCUGGACAGGGGGGCGCUGUUCGGGACGGCCUCUGUGGCUCUGGCUGUGCUCAUGA
rnacentral:lncRNA from 1 species